rnacentral:rRNA from 1 species
AGUCAUUGGGUUAAAUAUAAAAACCUAAAGGCGUAAUUAACUUAACUAUUUAAUAUGGGAUCAUAUAUAUAUAAAUUUUAUUUUUUAUAUAUAUUCCAUCCUGGGGCGUUCAAUAUAGUUAUGUAUUUUAAUAUAAUUUCUUUUAAAGUUAUUAUAUUAUUAAUGCCUCUAACUAGAGCGUACCUUGAGCAUAUAUGUUGUGACCCGAAAGAUGGUGAACUAUACCUGAUCAGGUUGAAGUCAGGGGAAACCCUGAUGGAAGACCGAAACAGUUCUGACGUGCAAAUCGAUUGUCAGAAUUGGGUUUAGGGGCGAAAGACCAAUCGAACCAUCUAGUAGCUGGUUCCCUCCGAAGUUUCCCUCAGGAUAGCUGGUGCAUUUAAAUAUUAUAAGAAAUAAUCUUAUCUGGUAAAGCGAAUGAUUAGAGGCCUUAGGGCCGAAACGACCUUAACCUAUUCUCAAACUUUAAAUGGGUAAGAACCUAACCUUUCUUGAUAUGAAGGUUUAGGUUAUGAUAUAUUGUGCCCAGUGGGCCACUUUUGGUAAGCAGAACUGGCGCUGUGGGAUGAACCAAACGUGAUGUUACGGCGCCAAAAUUAACAACUCAUACUGAUACCAUGAAAGGCGUUGCUUGCUUAAAACAGCAGGACGGUGGACAUGGAAGUCGUAAUCCGCUAAGGAGUGUGUAACAACUCACCUGCCGAAGCAACUAGCCCUUAAAAUGGAUGGCGCUCAAGUUGUAUGCCUAUACAUCACCGUUAAAGUAUAUGAUCUAUUUAAAAAUAUUGAAACUUUAUAUAAAUUUUGAAACUUUAAUGAGUAGGAGGGUACAAUUGUGUGCGUGGAAGUGUUUGGCGUAAGCCUGCAUUGAGCCGCAAUUGGUACAGAUCUUGGUGGUAGUAGCAAAUAAUCGAAUGAGACCUUGGAGGACUGAAGUGGAGAAGGGUUUCGUGUGAACAGUGGUUGAUCACGAGUUAGUCGGUCCUAAGUUCAAGGCGAAAGCCGAAAAAAUUUAAGUAAAAAUAAUUAAUUAAAUAUUAUAAUAAACUUAAAUAAAUUUGAACGAAAGGGAAUACGGUUCCAAUUCCGUAACCUGUUGAGUAUACGUUUGUUAUUAAAUAUGGGCUUUUAUGCUCAUCCUGGUAACAGAAACAACCAUAAAGAAGCCGUCGAGAAAUAUCGAAAGAGUUUUCUUUUCUGUUUUAUAGUUGUACUACCAUGGAAGUCUUUCGAAGAGAGAUAUGGUAGAUGGACUAGAAGAGCAUGGCAUUUACUGCUGUGUCGAUAUUUUCUCUUCGGACCUUGAAAAUUUAUGGUGGGGUCACGCAAACCUCUCAACAGGCCGUACCGAUAUCCGCAGCUGGUCUCCAAGGG